rnacentral:rRNA from 1 species
GACAGAGGGGGCAAGCGUUGCUCGGAAUCACUGGGCGUAAAGGGCGCGUAGGCGGGAUGGCAAGUCAGUCGUGAAAUCUCUCGGCUCAACCGAGAAACGUCGGCUGAUACUGCCGUUCUUGAGGGAUGCAGAGGAGACUGGAAUUCCCGGUGUAGCAGUGAAAUGCGUGGAUAUCGAUAGGAACACUCGUGGCGAAGGCGAGCUACUGGACAACAUCUGACGCUGAGGCUCGAAGGCUAGGGGAGCAAAAGGG